CUUCCGGGAAGUUUUCGGCGACCUGGAUACCAUCUUCGACACGGGGACAAAUCCCGGGAUGGAGUCCAGGGUUUCCCGCGGCUUCGGCGCUUCCUGACCUGGCGUGACUGCCGACUUGUCGGCACCACCCAGGCCUCAGGCUCCCUGUCUGUAGUGGUGAAUCGACCUUCCUCAUGGCAGUCCAGGCUUCCCAAGCCCCAUGUCCUGUUGAUCCGGGACAAACUCUUCCUUGAACGUUCUUCACUACGAGCCGCUGCUGAUCUGUACUGCCUGGAGGAGCAUUUCCAUAGCGCCCGCAAAAAUACAAUAAAGCUCACCCAAGGAAAUAACCAUGGAUUCUCACGCCUGGGUGCCAGUGUUUGGAAUCGACUGGGCUUUUUUAUGUUAGUAGGCAAUUUAAAACAAUUACUUAUUUGAAAUCAGAAGCGCAAUAGGCAUAACUUCAGGUACGUGCUCCACCACCACGUUUUGUGGAUUUUUCUUUUUAAACAUCAGUUCUGUUCUCUACAACUCUCCGCCUUCAGGGUUAUACUUUCCAGGAACAAUAGCUUCCCAAUUCGGCUUUGUGCAUCCAUUUUUCAUACAGCAUCGUUGUAGUCUUCAAAUACAAAUAUGAUCACGGCAAUCUGCUGAAAAAUCUUUGGUGGCUUUCCCUUGCUCUUGGACAAUCCCUGAUUGUCCAAGUUUUCGGCUUCAUCUCGUUCGCCCACCAUACACUGAACUAUAAACUGUAGUGGCUUUUUUUCCUCAGGUCUUCCCACAGACUAAGUACCAAGAUUUUUCCACCCUACCCUCAUCCGUGCUCAUUCCGACACACUUUUUGCCUGUUUGACACCUCAUUUAUUGUCAGAUUUCAAGAAUCGUUUUCUUCGGGGAACCAUUUCUUGACUCCCUUACUGGAUGAAACAAGCCUCCCUGUUAAACAGUGUUGGAGGCGCAGAAACAUACCCCCAAAUAAUGGCGUUUUGACAUCUGAACUGAAGAAGCCUCAAGGUCCCACUCCCCUAAAUCCCCACGCCAUCUCUGCCAAAGCAAAGGAUAAAGUUUAGACACAUCACAAGGAACAUAAUUGUUUUUGUUGCCUCCCUGUAAGACCAAGAAUGUAGUAAUCACACCUGAGCAGACCCUUUCACAAGAUGUUGUACAAAUUAAUGUGUUCCUGAUACAUUCAUUCUCCUUUGUAAUCCCUCAACAGAAUUCCUCUUCUCCCUAUCAUAACCUGUGUCGCUGGGAUUGUAUCCACAAGCUUCUGAAGCCCUCUGAGGGGUGGGUAAUCACGCUGUGAUUCUUCCUGUGUAUACACGUUAAGUAAAUUUGUAUGUUUUUUCUAUUAAUGUUCCUCAUGUUAGUGAUUUUCAGCCAAACCUCAGAGGGCCAAGGAGAAAGGUCCCCUUGGCGCUUACAAUAGUGUCUGCUGGUAGUUUCAUGUGGUUCUUGGUAGAACUUACCGGUUCAACUUGUUCUUUCACUAUGUGUGUAUU
rnacentral:lncRNA from 1 species